rnacentral:rRNA from 1 species
GAUAUGGCUCAGGAUGAACGCUGGCGGCGUGCUUAACACAUGCAAGUCGAACGAAGCACUUUAACCUGAUUCUUCGGAUGAAGGUUUUUGUGACUGAGUGGCGGACGGGUGAGUAACGCGUGGGUAACCUGCCUCAUACAGGGGGAUAACAGUUAGAAAUGACUGCUAAUACCGCAUAAGACCACGGAGUCGCAUGGCUCAGUGGGAAAAACUCCGGUGGUAUGAGAUGGACCCGCGU